rnacentral:rRNA from 1 species
CGAGGAUCUGACUCUAGUACGAGAGGACCGGGUUGGACUAACCYCUAGUGUAUCUGUUGUGGCGCCAGCUGCAUUGCAGAGUAGCUACGUUGGGCAGGGAUAAGUGCUGAAAGCAUCUAAGCACGAAGCCUACCUCAAGAUGAGAUUUCUWUARAGGGUCGUUGGAGACGACAACGUUGAUAGGCCACAGAUGUAAAGGCAGUGAUGUCAAAGUCGAGUGGUACUAAUUACCCAUAAGCUUAUGAAU